rnacentral:rRNA from 1 species
AUUGAACGCUGGCGGCAGGCCUAACACCUGCAAGUCGAACGAGUGGCGGACGGGUGAGUAAUGUCUGGGAAACUGCCUGAUGGAGGGGGAUAACUACUGGAAACGGUCGCUAAUACCGCAUACCAUCGGAUGUGCCCAGAUGGGCUUAGCUAGUAGGUGGGGUAACGGCUCACCUCGGCGACGAUCCCUAGCUGGUCUGAGAGGAUGACCAGCCACACUGGAACUGAGAAACGGGCCAGACUCCUACGGGAGGAAGCAGUGGGAAAUAUUGCACAAUGGGCGAAAGCCUGAUGCAGACAUGCCGCGUGUAUGAAGAAGGCCUUCGGUUUGUAAAGUACUUUCAGCGGGGAGGCGUUACCCGCAGAAGAAGCACCGGCUAACUCCGGGCCAGCAGCCGCGGUAAUUC